GCGGCGGGGCCACCGGCGAGUCCAGCGCCGCCGCAGCCCCCCAAUGCGGCCGCGAGAAGCAGCGGGGGGGGCCGGCGAUCGAAGGUUCGUCUGGGUCCCGUUUCUCUCUUUGAAAUGUGGUGAGGACAGCUGACGUGCUCCCGCUGCUUUCUGAGCAACCCUGUGAAGUCACUAGAAGCAUCAUCUCCUGGAAGACCAGCGUUCUUGUGAUGAUGGAGGCUUGUCUGUUCUUUCUGUGACUGGAGCAAUGCUGACCUCGGUUUCCUGGACCCAUUCCGACUCAGGUCCUCAAGGUCUGGCAGUGAACAUGACAAAUGACGGCUGGCCUCUGGGGAAUCUCACAUGGACCUGUUAAUUUUUAUGGCACAAAUUCUUAUAACUAAAGGGGCCAUCAUGGUGUGUGUGCUGGCUGGAUAAACAUCUCAGUCAUUUUCUGGAUCACCUGUCCACAGUGCACGCAUCUGUACAGGCGCUUUGUAGGUGUCUGGAAACAAUGGACUAGCUGGUGAUGCUCUGAGUAGAGUCGCUUUGAAGGAGAAAGGAGGAACAUCGUGUUUAAAGAAGAGGCUGUUGCUGAUGUCAGUUAUUAACCCGUGGCUCCGGAAAGGGCAAGUUGAACUGUAUUGGGUAACUUUUCUGAUAAUUAUGAUUGUAACAGGUGCAUGGGCCAUAGUGUGAGUUGGAGUUUUUAAUAAAGGUGAUAUAAUUAGUUCCCAUUUUCUGAGAACCUACUGUAAACCAGACAUGCUGGAUGUCUGCCAUAUAUUAGUCCCAUCUUCCCCAAAGCCCUGGAAGGUGGUUGUUGCUAUUUUGCUCCGUGGAAGAAGAAGAAAAGGCUCACAAAGGUUAAGUGACUCGCCCAGGACCAUACAGCGUAUACAUCGCUAACCCAGCCCUGACUGUCUCCUAAAACUGUGCCUUUCCACUUCCUCAUUGGUUCACUUACUCAUUAAAAAAAAAAUUUGCUGAGCACGUACUAUGUGCUGGUGCUGGGGAUGCCAUGGCGAAUGUGAUGGAUGAGGUCUUCGUUUCGUGGAGCUUAUACCAGACAGUGGUGGCCUUCCAGAGCCUGGGACCCUGCUUAAACUAGGCAAAGGGGAGAAUGGGAUCCAAGACAUAAUAUGAAGGCCUUGAACCUCCAAGGCCCAACGCCUCUUUUGUAGUUAGGAUUUAAUCAGGCACAUAACUACAGAGAUAUGGAUCCUCUAAGGUUUAGUUAUUUAUCAGUGUGUGUUAAAGGGAAAGUUCAAUUAUAGUAGGAGAUCCAGAAUGGGCAUUUUGGGGUUGGCAAGCUUGUAGUUUAAAGACUCAGGCUGACUUGAGGACAGCCUGCAGAAGGUGGGCCAUCUGGCCGCCAUCUUGGUAGUCUUGUCACCUUGCUUUCCUGUGCCUGCCGCCCACCCAGCACUUAGCACUGGCCCCAGGCCUUUGGACAGGUGAGGAAGCUGAUGUCUACUCGUCUAGCUGGCACCCCUCAGUGGUACUCCACGGGCUGUGUAGACACUGGUGUGGAGCUGUCCUGGUUCUUGUGGCAGGUUUAGUAUGUCCGGCCCACCUGUUAGAUGCUGGUAGCAUCUGCCUUCUCUGCAUCGUUGUGACAGGCCAAACCAUCCCUGCAUAUUUCCAUAUAUUCAGUUCUCCAGUUGAGAACCUCAAAAAUGUGCUUGUUUUUCCUACACUGAAACCCUUUUGCUCUCUUACCUUGGCUGACUCUACACUAGCUCCAGAUGAUGCCAGUAGUAAGACUCUUCUCGAUUGUUCCUUUUCCCACGGUGUCCUGAUUUCAGGCCCUGGCUCUGUCCAGUAUUUCAACAAAUGCCCAUUGAGUACCCCUUUCAUGGAGGCUCUGGUCAGGGAGGGGUCAAGGUCUUUUUAAGAGAGAAUAUCAGAAAUGAUUCCCUUCAAGCCCUUAAUCUCAUUGAUGACAGAACCAGAACAUGGGAAAAAAAUUGUGCAAGCCAACACUCCCAGCUCAUAGUCCCGCAUUCUGUCCAUCACAGAGGCCACUUCUCAAGCACAAAGCAGCUUUAGUGUGAAAGUAUUGGAAGAGUUGGGAUUUUGAACUAUUUAUCCUGGAAUUGCAGAGAUGAAAUACAUACCCCAUAGCCACUAUUCUCUAGAACUUGUAAGAAACACAGCCCUUAGUCCCACUGUAGCAUAAGAUGAGGGACAAAGACAGUGUGGUAGAUAAUUAAACAAUGUGAAGAUGGAGGAAUUCACUUUUUAAAUUCCGAUUGCAUUUUAUUGUUCAAUGUUAAAAAAUAAAAACAUUAAAAUCCUAGCAAGUUUAGAUAUGCUUGUCAUGGAAAGUUUAAAGUCCCUAAUGAUCCACCCAUCAAAGAUUUUCUUUGUGCAUAUAUUAGCCUAUCUAAUACUACCUUACAAAAAAUAGGCUUGCUUCUCCGUUUGCAAUGUGUUGUUCUCUCUGAGCAUCUAUUCCCAUAAACACCUCAGUUUACCUGUUUCUUUUGCAAGCUGCAAGUGUUCCAUUCUAUGGACGAACCAGGAUUUACUAAUUGAUCCUUUUCUGAUGGACACGGAGUUCUUUCCAGUUUUCCUCUAUUGCAGACGAUGCUGAAAUAAUUCUUGCACAUGCAUAUUUUUGCACAGUUGUGCAUUUCUGGACAACACAUCCCUGCAAGAAGAACUGUAAGUCAAAGCCAAGGUGCAUUUUUAAUUUUAAUAAAUAUUGCUAAAUAUCACUCCCCAAAUGGCAGGACUUAACUGACGCUUGCUCCCAUCAACACUGAACGGGAGUGCCUCUUUCUUUACGUCGUCGUCCACACUGGUUUUCACAGCUUUUAAAUUUUGGAACUAAAUAUUUUUAAAGAGACAAUGUUCUCAUUUGGUACAAUUU